rnacentral:rRNA from 1 species
CCAGACUCCUACGGGAGGCAGCAGUGGGGAAUAUUGCACAAUGGGGGAAACCCUGAUGCAGCGACGCCGCGUGAGUGAAGAAGUAAUUCGUUACGUAAAGCUCUAUCAGCAGGGAAGAGAGUGACGGUACCUGAGUAAGAAGCCCCGGCUAACUACGUGCCAGCAGCCGCGGUAAUACGUAGGGGGCAAGCGUUAUCCGGAUUUACUGGGUGUAAAGGGAGCGUAGACGGCGAAGAAAGUCUGGAGUGAAAGCCCGCGGCUUAACCGCGGAACUGCUUUGGAAACUUUUUGGCUGGAGUACCGGAGAGGUAAGCGGAAUUCCUGGUGUAGCGGUGAAAUGCGUAGAUAUCAGGAGGAACACCGGCGGCGAAGGCGGCUUUCUGGACUGUACCUGACGCUGAGGCGCGAAAGCGUGGGUAGCGAACGGGAUUAGAUACCCGCGUA